rnacentral:rRNA from 1 species
GGGUUGUGAGGUUAAGCGACUAAGCGUACACGGUGGAUGCCCUGGCAGUCAGAGGCGAUGAAGGACGUGCUAAUCUGCGAUAAGCGUCGGUAAGGUGAUAUGAACCGUUAUAACCGGCGAUUUCCGAAUGGGGAAACCCAGUGUGUUUCGACACACUAUCAUUAACUGAAUCCAUAGGUUAAUGAGGCGAACCGGGGGAACUGAAACAUCUAAGUACCCCGAGGAAAAGAAAUCAACCGAGAUUCCCCCAGUAGCGGCGAGCGAACGGGGAGCAGCCCAGAGCCUGAAUCAGUGUGUGUGUUAGUGGAAGCGUCUGGAAAGGCGCGCGAUACAGGGUGACAGCCCCGUACACAAAAAUG